ACUCCUACGGGAGGCAGCAGUGGGGAAUAUUGCACAAUGGGCGCAAGCCUGAUGCAGCCAUGCCGCGUGUGUGAAGAAGGCCUUCGGUUGUAAAGCACUUUCAGUCGUGAGGAAGGUAGUGUAGUUAAUAGCUGCAUUAUUUGUACGUUAGCGACAGAAGAAGCACCGGCUAACUCCGUGCCAGCAGCCGCGGUAAUACGGAGGGUGCGAGCGUUAAUCGGAAUUACUGGGCGUAAAGCGCAUGCAGGUGGUUUGUUAAGUCAGAUGUGAAAGCCCGGGGCUCAACCUCGGAAUAGCAUUUGAAACUGGCAGACUAGAGUACUGUAGAGGGGGUAGAAUUUCAGGUGUAGCGGUGAAAUGCGUAGAGAUCUGAAGGAAUACCGGUGGCGAAGGCGGCCCCCUGGACAGAUACUGACACUCAGAUGCGAAAGCGUGGGGAGCAAACAGGAUUAGAUACCCUGGUAGCUCGAUG
rnacentral:rRNA from 1 species